rnacentral:rRNA from 1 species
UACAGGGGGGGCAAGCGUUGUUCGGAAUUACUGGGCGUAAAGGGCUCGUAGGUGGCCAACUAAGUCAGACGUGAAAUCCCUCAGCUUAACUGGGGAACUGCGUCUGAUACUGGAUGGCUUGAGUUUGGGAGAGGGAUGCGGAAUUCCAGGUGUAGCGGUGAAAUGCGUAGAUAUCUGGAGGAACACCGAUGGCGAAGGCGGCAUCCUGGACCAACACUGACACUGAGGAGCGAAAGCCAGGGGAGCAAACGGG